UGCGGGAUCGUCUAAUGGUAGGACGCCAGGUUCUGGCCCUGGUAGUCGGGGUUCGAGUCCCUGUCCCGCAG
rnacentral:tRNA from 1 species